rnacentral:rRNA from 1 species
AGCAGUCGCCGCGGUAAAACGGAGGAUCCAAGCGUUAUCCGGAAUCAUUGGGUUUAAAGGGUCCGUAGGCGGUCUUGUAAGUCAGUGGUGAAAGCCCAUCGCUCAACGGUGGAACGGCCAUUGAUACUGCAGGACUUGAAUUAUUGGGAAGUAACUAGAAUAUGUAGUGUAGCGGUGAAAUGCUUAGAGAUUACAUGGAAUACCAAUUGCGAAGGCAGGUUACUACCAAUUGAUUGACGCUGAUGGACGAAAGCGUGGGUAGCGAACAGGAUUAGAGACCCCUGUAGUCCCUGUCUCUUAUAA